rnacentral:rRNA from 1 species
CUCGGAUCAGGUAGGGAUACCCGCUGAACUUAAGCAUAUCAAUAAGCGG